rnacentral:misc_RNA from 1 species
GAUGUUCCCCGUGUUGAUGGGCAGUUGGCAGUCGCAAGGGCGUUUGGUGAUAGGAGCUUAAAGAAACAUUUGAGUUCAGAGCCUUAUGUGGUAAUGGAGAUGAUAGAUGACGAGACCGAAUUUGUUAUCUUGGCAAGUGAUGGAUUGUGGAAGGUUAUGUCAAAUGAAGAAGCGGUAGACUCGAUCAGGCAUAUAAAAGACGCGCAUGCAGCUGCCAAACACUUGACAGAGGAGGCCCUCAAGAGGAAGAGCAAAGAUGAUAUCUCUUGUAUAGUUGUGAGAUUUCACUGAGUUCAUCAUGGAUUUCUGUUUCUGUCCCAACAGCUGAAAAAUGGAAG